rnacentral:lncRNA from 1 species
GUUUAAUUUUAUUAGAAGGCUUUAAAGGUAUGGUGAAAAUUGGCAUGUAGAAAGCUGAUACAUGUACAAUUAAGGAUAUACCUGGUUUCUUUGAAGUUAAACUUUAAGGUAAAAUAUUUAGAAAGCUGUGAAAAUUGCAAAAUUUGGUUGAACAGAUAGGGAUUUUUAAUUGGUGGUCUGACACCUUUACAUUAAAUUAGUACAAAAAAUGGCUACUUCCGGUUUACAAAAUGUCACUCUCGGCUUGGAUUUUACAAGGUCACUUUGCUAGCAACCUUUUGCAAAAAGUCCCAUGGCUUUAUCAUGUAUACAUAAGAGGAAAGAGCAAAGGUCAAAAUCUAGAACGUUGAAUUUACCUAUGACCUUGAGCUCAAUUUCCAAGGUCAUCAACCAAGGACCUCAAAUCAAAAGACUCUAGGCCUCUACUUCAUAUUGUUAAUGAGUUAAUUAUAUUACCAUACAACUAAUAUUAGAUAUAAAAGGGGAGAAAACUCGCAUUAAAUGUUACAUACCCUUUUAAGUAAAAUUUAUGUGUUACGACAUGUCGCAACUAACAAUUGUCUGAAAAUAUUUUGUCGAUAUCUUGUAUGAUUUCUGAAAAUAAGAGAUAACAAGCCAAAAUCAAAAAUUUGAACAUGACCUUGACCUCUGACCUUGACCUCAUUUUCAAUUUUUUUUACCAAGGACCUCAAAUCAAAAGACCCUAGGCCUCUAUCACUUAUGGUUUUCCAGUUACAAAUUUAUUUCAUUUAUUUCAAUAUAAAAGGGGAAAUAACUCUCAAAUGGAGUCUUCGCAAAGCUUCGGUCAAAAUAAAAGCUAACAUCCUGAGGAUAUAACAAGCAAUUUGGAAAAAUAAAUUUGUCGCUUUCUUUUACGGUUGCGGAGGAGAUCUGAUAACAAGAAAAACAGUGUUUUGGGGAGAUAACUCUUACAAAGAAAAGUGUUCGGUUAAACAGGGUCAGUUUCAAAAGCGUAUAGACUGUAUAAUAUGAUAUACAAAAAAACUAAGCGACAUCUUUUAAAACAUUUUUACACCGCAAGAAAAAAAUUAGGCAGAAGAAAAAAAAAAUAAUAAGAACAAAAUCAAUAGGUCUUUCCACACGGAAAGGUGGAAAGACCUAAUAAAUGGUUAAGACCUAUGGCAUUACAUACAACUAUAAUAAUUGACAUGGUAGAAUGAAAGGUUCCAUGAUAACAUAUCAUGCUAAAUUAUGAAAAGUUACAAAAUGAUGUAUCAUACAAGUUCACUAUUUCUUAUAUUUAGACAUUCUGAUAUGAAAGAGGAAGACAGUCUAAGUAAUAAUGCUAAGCUAUUAUUGACCAAUAGAGAUAUUUUUUCAUCAACGGUAAUGUUACGCUGUAUUUGAAAUAUAACAUUUAUUUUAUUUUCUAAUAUUUCUCGCUUUGAGGUAUAUCUAUUACAUUUUAAUAAGAAAUGUUGUUCAUCCUCAAUUUCCCCUUUUUACAGACAGGACAGUAUCUUUCCUCUCUAGGAAUAUUAAGAUGUCUUCCCCUUUCAAUCAUUAAAGAAAGUGCACUUAUGCGUAUUUUGCAUAUUGCUGCUCUAUCAUUUAAAUUGUUUAGUGAAUCAACAUAUGAUGGUAUUUGACCCAUUUUGUAGACUUGACGAAAGAAACUGAGCUUAGAAGACUCCUGUAUGUUUGCAUUUUGAUUUUGCAAGCACUGAUCAUAAAUAAAUCUCUGUUUUACUUGUCCCAAGUGCUGCUUUGUUAGACAACUUUUUUCAACAAGAUAUGAAUAUCCUAAUUUUUGUAAAAUGCACUGAGUUUUUAGGAUCCAGGGGUUUGAAAAUCUUGUUGCACAGAAAAUUUGAUUUACAAGUGUAUUUUCUGAUGAAAGUAUAUGCUCUAGAAAAUUUAUGCUUGAAAAAACAAUUUUAUUUUUGAGUGGAAUUCUACCAAGCUCAGCACGACAAGCAUCAUUUGAAGCCUUGCAAUGAACACCAAGUGCUUCUUUAACAAUUUUAAUGUGUAAUUUUUCAAAGGGUUCAGAGUCCCUUAAUGAUGAGUUAACACCCCAAAUUUCAGAACAGUACAUCAGUAUAGGUGAUAUUAAUGUAUCGAACAAUUUUUCAAGUAGUCUACAUGGAUUAUUCAGACCAACAGUUUUCUUAAUUUUGAAAUAGGCUUUUCUUGCCUUUUCCAUAAGAGUAUUAAUGGCUAAAUUGAAAUUACCAUUACAUUUUAUUACAAUACCUAAAUAAGAAUAAUGACUAACAGUUUCAAUGCAAGAAUCAUUGUAAGUAAAUUCGUCCAAAAAUGUUUUACCAUUUGAAUUAAAUACAAUAACUUUGGACUUAUCUGUGUUAACUUGUAGUUUCCAACAAUCACAAUAAUCAUAUAAAGCAUUAAGACUAUUUUGUAGUCCUUUUUUACUUUGAGACAAUAAAACAAUAUCAUCUGCAUAAAGAAGAAUAUUUAAAGAAAAGUCCCCAAUUACAACUGGAUCAGAAUUACAAUUGACUAAAGCAUUAGUGAGGUCAUUAAUAUAAUAAUUAAAAAGUACAGGGCUCGGGGUCUCACUAAUUAGCGACAACAAGCGUCAAGAAGCGACAACAAGCGACAACAAGCGACACACAGAAUUAUUUUAGCGACAACAAGCGACAAUAAGACUAUUUAGCGACAAUAAAACAUUUUUUUUUUUAUUAGAUAUAAAGAAAUUUGUAUUUAAUGUUUUUUUUUAAUAUAUGAGCAGAUAUGUCUAAUUAAAAUGUUUUAUUAUAUAGAUAGACGAAGAAAGGACACAUUUGUGAGGAAGAAAGAGAUUGUGAAGUUUAUAUUAGUAUAUUGGUAGAUGAAGAAAUUAAAUAUUUGUGAAGAAGAAAGAGAUUGAGCUUCUUUUUUUAAUUUUUAAAUAUGAAGAAUAUGUAUAAGAUAAUGUAUGUAUCUGUUUUCAUCAAAGUCAAAGUAUGAAUAAACGAAUGGAGAUAUAUAUGGAGCGGGCAUAAUGGAAUAUAAUAUUUUGAUUCAUUUGCUUAAUACUAUGCUCUAAGUGUACUCUUGUUAUGUCAAUUCGAUGCUUUAUUUGUAGAACUCUCAGCCACGCUUUGCCAUCUUUAUUAUUAAAGCGUGUUUCCAGACCUCACGACGAGGACGUGGUUCUACAUUGGGGUCCAUAUAAUUUUUUUUUUUUUUUUUUUUUUUUUUUUUUUUUUUUUUUUUUUUUUUUUUAGUCAUUAUAUAGUAAUAUGUACAUUCUUAUCUAACAUAAUAUUUAUACAUUUUGUACAUGGUGGUCCCAUUUUGAUAAGCCGUAGAUUUUUACCACUAAGGUUCACUGUAUUUUUGCCCUUUUUGAAGUUGUAGUUUUAGCAUUUUUAAUACGUUUCCGUUGGCAAGGUUUACGUGCACAUGCACUUGUUUUGGGGAUUGUCAGCCACCAUCUGUUGAAGUGGUGGACUCUGGGAUUGCGUUUAACUUUCUCCAUGAGUCAAGAAUUUUUUGCAAUGCAAAAGCCUUUUCUUUUUCCGAUUUAAUCUGCCAUAGAGCUUUUGUGCAUUGAAAAUGGCUUACUGAGGAGCUUAGCUCAAAGUCUCCAUGUCCAUAAAGUGCGCCAUUGACAAGACUUUCUUGCAACUUUAUUUCUUUGUGAAUUUUAUUAAUUAACUCUGGAAGUUUCUCAGGCUUCCAAUCUUGAUUUAGUUUCAAGAUGUGAUUGAUUGAUUCACAAUUAUUGUUUUUCCAUUGCAAUGGAAUUCUCGACUCUGUUUUUCGAGCAUUGUACACGUAAUCCCUUAUAGUAGGAAUAACUUUUUGCGUAAGAUAUGGACCAACGAGGUCUUCAUAUUUUCUUUCAAUAUCAGUAACCUUAGUGGAAAAAUCUACCGUCGUAUCUGCUUCUAUCAGACCGUUAUCCCCAAAUAAGUCUGAUAAAAUUUGUUUUGCGUUCUUGUCAUUAACGCCGACCUUUGUUCUCAAAUGCCUUGUAACAUUUUCACUCAAGUGCCUUGUGCACAAUGUGAGUUCAGAUGUUGGGAAACUGUCUUUGAUAGCUUUUACUAAAGCCUUUUCAAAAAAAAAAAGGUCAACUUUCCUUUGAAGGAUUUAUUGAAACAAAAACAUGAAAUAUAAUUUCCUUUCUAACAGUAUAAUUCAUUGUUCUUGAUAGGAACAACAUUAGAUGUGGCUUCACCCUAAGGUAAUAACAGUACACACAAUGUGGAACAUCAAAUGAGAUUAACGAGGCGUGUGUCUCCUGUUUUAUUGCUACAAUAACAUCCAAUUAACACUUUCAACUUUGUACACGCGUCAGACUAUACAAUUACACGCGCCAGAAUAUACAAUCAUUGUAAAUGUGAACACCUGUUGAAAACUCAAGAUUGUCAUUAAUUUCCUUUCAUCUUUAAUCAAUAUGCAUAAACAUGAUAAAUAUCGUUUAAUGAGGCAAUAAUUAAGCAAAUAAAAAGAUGAAAACAUUCACAUUUCAAUUUUCUUUUCCUCUUGUUUGAUUUCAGUUUUUUGUAUUUCACAAUUUGUGUCAAUAUUUUCAGGACAAUGAUGCACAAAUAAUUCAUUUUGCGAGCUUAAUAUAUAUUGCACGAAAAGAGUUUAAAAAAACAAAUUAUAAGAUAAAUAAUAUGUUCUAAAACACAAGGAAAAGUAAUCUAUUAACACAAUAAAUAAACGUAAUACUGGCUGUUAUACAUAAUAGAUGAUAAAAUAUUUUUUUUCUAUCAAUUUUAGCUUUCUUGUCGCUAAAAUUAUUUUCUUUUGCACAUUCUUUUAAUAUUUAUUGCAAUAAUUAACUUUAAUUAAAAAAAUAUGUUUUCUUGUCGCUAAAUAGUUUCUUGUCGCUUGUUGUCGCUAAAAUAAUUCUUGUUGUCGCUUCUUGUCGCUUGUUGUCGCUUGUUGUCGCUAAAAUUCUUGUUGUCGCUAAUUAGUGAGACCGCAGGGCUCAGUAUAUCUCCUUGUUUUACUCCUCGCUCAGAUAAAAAUGCUGAACUGAGUCCAUUUGAAAACUUGAUUCUGCAUACUGAGUCAGUAUACAUUUGUACAUUGAAUAAACAAUUCUAAAAAUUCUAUUUGGAAUAUCAUGUAUCAAAAGUUUAUAAAAUAGUCCUAUUCGCCAAACUGUAUCAAAGGCUUUUUUAAGAUCAAUGAAAGCUGCAAAUACCUUUUUAUUUUGUUGUUUAUAAUGAUCAAUUACUGAUUUUAGUGUAAAUAUGUGAUCAGCAGUACGACUUUUUACUUUAAAACCAAUUUGAUUUUUGUUGAUUCAGUUGUUUACUAUUUAUGAAGUUCAUAAGUCUGUUAUAGAUAACUUUAUUAAACAGCUUGCCGAGGUUGGAGCUGAUGGAUAUGCCCCUAUAAUUUCCAGGGUCAAAUUUGUUUCCCUUUUUGUGGAGAAGAACUAGAAAACUUUCAUUCCAGGUCUUUGGAAAUUUUCCACUAGUAAAAAUAAAAUUAAAUAAUUUAUGAAGUGGUUUAAUUAUUACUGGUACAACAUUUUUCAACAUUUCAUUUGAGAUCAUAUCAGCAGAUGAACUCUUACCAUUACGGAGCAAUAACCGCUGGUUUUCUUGAAAUCUUAAAUUUGUAUACUACAGAGCGCAUUAAUCAUCAAUUUUUAAUGUCAACUCAUAGACAAGUAAAUUUGGGCUGAAAAUGGUCUUAAUAUAUUUCUCUUUCACCAAAAGUUUCAUUUCUGCAAAUUUGUUGGGUAGAUUAAGUAAACAAUGACAUCAAAUUUGGGGGAGUAAUUGGUGGUGUGACACCUAGAAUGUGGCGGAGUUCAACAUGUUAGCGGAAUCCCAACCCUCCCUAACCUGGGACAGUUUUCUAACAGUACGACAUGUUCGUCCAUCCCUUUGUCCUGUCUCGUGUUUUCUUUCCUUUCUGAUUACCGAUAAUUACGAUUUUUAGCUCAUCUGACCCACUGGCGUCCAUUAACUUUUACAAAAAUCUUCUCUGAAACUACUGGGUAAAAUUUGAACAAACUUGUCCACAAUCAUUAUUGAGGUAUCUAGUUUAAAAAAUGUGUCGGUUGACCAGGCCAACCAAUCAAGAUGGCCACCAUGGCUAAAAAUAGAACAUAGGGGUAAAAUGUAGAUUUUGGCUUGUAUCUCUGAAACCAAAGUAUAUAUAUUAUGGUAAAUUGUAUAAAUAUUUAUAAUCUUACAAAAGUCUUCUUUGAAAAUAGACAAAUUAAAAAAUUUAGGGCAGAUAGAUCUUGACCCAAGUAACAAUUAUAUCCCCAUGCCGGAUUUGCUCAAAAUCUGCCCUAAAAUUUUCAGACAAUUGGCCAGGCCGUUGUUUGGGUGCUGCCCCUGAAUUGGUAAUUUUAGGUAAAUUUUGCAGUUUUUGAUUAUCUUUAGUAUUAUUAACUGAUCCAUUCAGCAGUUGUUGUCCCUUAUGGUAAAUAAUAUAAAUAUUUAUAAUCUUACAAAAGUCUUCUUUGAAAACAGACAAAUUUAACCAAACUUGGUCACAUCAUAGGAUAUACAGUUUUAAAAAUGUGUCCGAUAAUCCUGCCUGCCAAUCAACAUGGCAGACAUGGCUAUAAGUCCUACAAAACUUUUAAAGGGGCCUUCAAAUUUAGUUUAAUAUGGUUUAUUAGCUUCUUUAUACCUUUACAAUGCUAUACCUAUGGUAAAAUUGAUUGUUUUCCUAUAAAUUAUGCACCGUGAAAAUUGCUCUUUCAAAAUUUCCAAUUGGCAGCCUCCAUUGGGGAAAUCGCCCGCAAAUAGUGACAGUUGGCAGGUAUGCAUAAGGGUAUCAAAUUUUCAAAAUGUGUCCAAUGACCCUGCCUGCCAACCAACAAUCUGCAAAAAUAUUUUACCAGUUGAUCAGUUAGUUGGAGAAGAAAUCUAACUGCAAAUUGGUAAACUGUUAGGCAUUGCUAUUGUGAUACCACAAAGGUUACUGUAUAAGCACAGUAUGGGGUAGGGGUCAAUUCGCAACAGCAUAGUGUAUUGCACAAAAGCAAAGAAAUGAAUAUAAAUCAUGUUACCAAUUUAAAGUUCUUUGGCUACAGCUAUUCUGUGUCAGAAACCUAUUAUGUCGCAACUUUACUACAAUCCAAAUUCAGACCUGUACCAAGCGUGAACAUUGUGUCCAUUUUGGCCCCAAAUUUCAGGGUUGGACAUCUGCUGUCGUGUCCAGCUGCGCCCAGCGAAGCAAUUUAUAUAUACACGUGGAAAAAAGUAUUGCAACACCUUGAGAUUUUUUAGAUCUUGGAAAAUCGGAAUGUUCUUUAGAUUGAAUAUGAUAAAAUAUUUGUAUAAUAAUAUGAUAACAUUUUUAAUGGUAACAUUGACGUUACACAUUCUAUGGUCUAUUUCUUCUGGCCCUCAUACUUUUUAUGUAUUGAAUCCAUAUUCUAAUUUUGUUCUAGCCCAACACCUUGAGAUUUUUUAAAUCUUGGAAAAUCAGAAUGUUUUUUAGAUUGAAUAUGAUAAAAUAUUUGUAGAAUAAUAUGAAAACAUUGACAUUAAAACGAAUAGAAAAAUAUAUGAAAAAAUGUUCUAAUUUACCACAAUUUUGAUAACAAAAUGAAUUAAUUUUUGAACCAAAAAUUGCAUUUAACAACUUUUACUGUAAUCGAACUUUACAAUGUCAGACAUUUCAAAAUAAAUCUUAAGAUGAUUGUUCAUAUCAUUGUUGAUUGGGGUGUUGCUAAACGGCGGAAACGGAAAACGGAACGGAAAACGGAAACAGAAAGAAUUAACAUCUUUUCUUUUUGGUUAUUUCAUCUGCAUAGGCAUGUUUUAUAUAAUAUUACACAUGUUCACAAGACUAAACCAGAGGAAUGAAUUUAAAAUAAAAGAUUUUAAAGCAAUAAAAAGUAGUAUUGAAAUAAUUACCAGGAGAUGAUGAGACUAUGUUUUUCAAAUAUUUGAUAAGGCCAUGCGUACGUCAUUCCUGCGAUUUAGGAUAGUCUGUUCGACUUUCCUUUAAAAACAACUUUGACCAAUGUCAAUAAGAUAGCAACCCAACAACACAAAAAAAAACUCUACAGGCCUAAAAAAAAAGAUUACCAUCGGCCUCGAUUCUAUAAAUAGGUUGUGAAGUAAUCAAUUUUUGGGCGAAAUCCUUUGCAUCAUUAUUUUCUUUGUUUCUUUCUUAAUUGCCUUGAAUCAAGAUUAGUGAUGUGGUGUAUCUUGUUGCGUUGUUCUGCAUUGGUGAUUUUCGUUGUAUCUUUUCGUGUAUGAUGGAGAAAAAAACGUAAAAGAAACCUAAUAGGACAAUGGUGUAUGGACAAAAUCUGAUAUGGAAACCAGGGAACUAGAAUAGAAACUUGUAUGUACUUUAUUUUUAUGCAUUGUUUUUGAUAAAAUCUCUUACUAUAAACAAAGCCUUUCUCACCCUUUUACAUUACUCGAGGAUUUGUAUAGUAAAUCCUUGCAAUACUGAAGUAUGCUGUUUGGUAUUUACAUAUAAAAAAAACAUAUCACCUAGAAUUUAAAUCAAUAAAUACGAAUUGGUGUGCAAAAAGGGGAGAACAGUUAUAGUAGCCUACAUGGAUAUAUACGAUUUGCACAUUGCCCUCACCAAAUAAGUCGUAGUCAUGUCCUAAGUUUUUUAAAUCAAAUUGUCCACGCUGCUUUAAAUAUCAUGCCGCUUAAUUCUUCUCUAAAAAUUCAAUUCCUCUCAAGCAGUCGUGAAUUUUGUUUCAUAAUAUUACAACUGAAAAUAGUGCUACUCAUUCAGUAUGCUGUUUUACUAUAGUAGAAAGCAUAGAAAGACAGACGAAAAAUACCAAAGGAUUAUUCAAACUCAGAAGUCGAAAACAAACCGUCAACGCCAUGACUAAAAAAAUAACAAUAAACAUGUAUUAUUAUUCAUUCACACAAAAGGAAUAUUAAAAUUUGAAAGUUAUUUUUAUUUAUAUUGAUAGUCUUUAAUGAUUUUGGUGCUAUGUCAAGACAACUGAAAAGUCAUUCUGCUCUGUUCUUUUUUAAUGACAGAAAUGAUGGCGAGCUCUGCACCAUUGGAAAUGGGUUACUUUAUGUCUGUUUGGAAGCAAGGGUCCCAGAAAUAGUCUUGUCGCACGAUAACCAGUAGCUCAUUGCGUACAGUUUUCGUUUAAAGUCUCCUGUAUGGUAACCACUCUCUUUUCCGGAUUGUAAGUUGUUUGCAAAGGGUUUCCUUCUGACAAAACUGCAUAAUGCUUGGUUUUCCCUUUCUGAUGUUAAAGAUUGUCUUUUUUUUUUUAUCUCGCUAGGUAUUAACAUCCUUUGUUGCCUGAUUAUUUUUUAUUAAAACAACGACCUAUACUGGAAUGGGGAUGAUCAACAAUACGUGCAAUUGUCACACUGACAUUUAAACAUCUGUGUUGCCUGCUGAAGAAUAAAUGUAGAUGAUCAUUGACUGAAACAUAUAUACUGGUAAUGUUAGU